UAAACAUAGACAGUUCAUUCACCCCACUGUCCGCCAGGGGAUUACGAGCAUUAGCUUAAAACCCAAAGGACUUGGCGGUGCUUCAAACCCACCUAGAGGAGCCUGUUCUAGAACCGAUAAUCCCCGUUCAACCUCACCCUUCCUUGUUCUUACCGCCUAUAUACCACCGUCGCCAGUUUACCCUGUGAAGGUCUAACAGUAAACACAAUCGGCACAGCCCAGAACGUCAGGUCGAGGUGUAGCGAAUGGAGGGGGAAGAAAUGGGCUACAUUCCCUAAUACUAGGGCACACGAAUGAUAUGCUGAAACGCACAUCUGAAGGAGGAUUUAGCAGUAAGCAGGAAGUAGAGUGUCCUGCUGAAAACGGC
rnacentral:rRNA from 1 species